rfam:Alicyclobacillus ferrooxydans strain TC-34 contig_4, whole genome shotgun sequence.
UCCACCGCGAGGUGGAAUCUGAAGGAAGGCGGCGGCAAACC